rnacentral:rRNA from 1 species
CAGCAGCCGCGGUAAUACAGAGGGUGCAAGCGUUAAUCGGAUUUACUGGGCGUAAAGGGCGCGUAGGUGGUUAUUUAAGUGAGAUGUGAAAGCCCCGGGCUUAACCUGGGAACUGCAUCUUAUACUGGGUAACUGGAGUGCAGUUGAGGGUAGUGGAAUUUCCGGUGUAGCGGUGAAAUGCGUAGAUAUCGGAAGGAACACCAGUGGCGAAGGCGGCUACCUGGACUGAGACUGACACUGAGGCGCGAGAGUGUGGGGAGCAAACAGGAUUAGAUACCCGCGUAGUCCCUGUCUCUUAUAC